UGUCCGCUCGGUCUUUUCACCGACGUUGCUCCUCACGCGCAUGUCAGGAGGAAGUCAGCUCGUCUGUAUAACGUCAGAAUGCAACAUAACCCACGCGGUUUGAUCCGCAGCACCGACAUGGUCUGUUCGGAUCAAACGCCAUCUGGUGGCCACGUGUGUGAGCCCGGUGGAUGAGUCUGCGGGUCAGUACUUGGUUGCCAAGGCAGUAUAAUGACGUGACGAUGGGUCCAGAGGAGCUCCAGAAAGAGGGCAGCUCCCAUCUGCAUCGAGUCCCGUGUGUAUGAGAUUCCUUGAGGCUUCGGGAGAUGACAUCCGAUGUUGCAGACGCAUUCUUUGUCUGACUCGAUACUUUGCAGGUAAAACACCAGGUGCAGAUGCCUAAUUGGACUGGAACUACUUUCCUCUUCCCAAUGAUGCCCAACGCACAGCAAUGCACUUAAAUGUUUGCCCUAUUAAUUUUCAAGCAGAAUAAAUUUUGCAUCUACAAUAUAAA